UGGGGAAUAUUAGGCAAUGGGCGCAAGCCUGACCCAGCAACGCCGCGUGAGGGAAGAAUGUCUUCGGAUUGUAAACCUCUGUCCUUGGGGGCGAAAAAAAUGACGGUACCCAAGGAGGAAGCUCCGGCUAACUACGUGCCAGCAGCCGCGGUAAUACGUAGGGAGCAAGCGUUGUCCGGAAUUACUGGGCGUAAAGGGUGCGUAGGCGGCGUGGCAAGUCAGAUGUGAAAUCCCCGGGCUUAACUCGGGUGGUGCAUUUGAAACUGCUGUGCUUGAGUGCAGGAGAGGAAAGCGGAAUUCCUAGUGUAGCGGUGAAAUGCGUAGAUAUUAGGAGGAACACCAGUGGCGAAGGUGGCUUUUUGGACUGUAACUGACCCUGAGGCACGAAAGCGUGGGGAGCAAACA
rnacentral:rRNA from 1 species